UGUAAACGAUGUCGAUUUGGAGUUUGGGGGCAUGACCCUUGGGCUCCGGAGCUAACGCGUUAAAUCGACCGCCUGGGGAGUACGGCCGCAAGGUUAAAACUCAAAUGAAUUGACGGGGGCCCGCACAAGCGGUGGAGCAUGUGGUUUAAUUCGAUGCAACGCGAAGAACCUUACCUGGUCUUGACAUCCAUAGAAUCUUUCAGAGAUGAGAGAGUGCCUUCGGGAGCUAUGAGACAGGUGCUGCAUGGCUGUCGUCAGCUCGUGUUGUGAAAUGUUGGGUUAAGUCCCGCAACGAGCGCAACCCCUAUCCUUUGUUGCCAGCACGUAAUGGUGGGAACUCAAAGGAGACUGCCGUUGAUAAAGCGGAGGAAGGUGGGGACGACGUCAAGUCAUCAUGGCCCUUACGACCAGGGCUACACACGUGCUACAAUGGCGUAUACAAAGGGAUGCGAAGGUGCGAACUGGAGCGGACCUCACAAAGUACGUCUAAGUCCGGAUUGGAGUCUGCAACUCGACUCCAUGAAGUCGGAAUCGCUAGUAAUCGUGAAUCAGAAUGUCACGGUGAAUACGUUCCCGGGCCUUGUACACACCGCCCGUCACACCAUGGGAGUGGGUUGCACCAGAAGUAGAUAGCUUAACCUUCGGGAGGGCGUUUACCACGGUGUGGUUCAUGACUGGGGUGAAGUCGUAACAAGGUAACCA
rnacentral:rRNA from 1 species